AGUGAACGCUGGCGGUAGGCCUAACACAUGCAAGUCGAACGGCAGCACAGUAAGAGCUUGCUCUUACGGGUGGCGAGUGGCGGACGGGUGAGGAAUACAUCGGAAUCUACUUUUUCGUGGGGGAUAACGUAGGGAAACUUACGCUAAUACCGCAUACGACCUACGGGUGAAAGCAGGGGAUCUUCGGACCUUGCGCGAUUGAAUGAGCCGAUGUCGGAUUAGCUAGUUGGCGGGGUAAAGGCCCACCAAGGCGACGAUCCGUAGCUGGUCUGAGAGGAUGAUCAGCCACACUGGAACUGAGACACGGUCCAGACUCCUACGGGAGGCUGCAGUGGGGAAUAUUGGACAAAGGGCGCAAGCCUGAUCCAGCCAUACCGCGUGGGUGAAGAAGGCCUUCGGGUUGUAAAGCCCUUUUGUUGGGAAAGAAAAGCAGCAGGUUAAUACCCCGCUGUUCUGACGGUACCCAAAGAAUAAGCACCGGCUAACUUCGUG
rnacentral:rRNA from 1 species